rnacentral:rRNA from 1 species
UGCAGAGGUCCCAAGCGUUGUUCGGAUUCAUUGGGCGUAAAGGGUGCGUAGGUGGCGCCGUAAGUGGGGUGUGAAAUUUCGGAGCUUAACUCCGAAACUGCAUUCCAUACUGCGGUGCUUGAGGACUGGAGAGGAGACUGGAAUUCAUGGUGUAGCAGUGAAAUGCGUAGAGAUCAUGAGGAAGACCAGUGGCGAAGGCGGGUCUCUGGACAGUUCCUGACACUGAGGCACGAAGGCUAGGGGAGCGAACGGG